rnacentral:siRNA from 1 species
UAUCACGUGAUUUCUGAUG